rnacentral:misc_RNA from 1 species
GUGAAUCAUCGAAUCUUUGAACGCACAUUGCGCCCGCCAGUAUUCUGGCGGGCAUGCCUGUUCGAGCGUCAUUUCAACCCUCAAGCUCAGCUUGGUGUUGGGACUCGCGGUAACCCGCGUUCCCCAAAUCGAUUGGCGGUCACGUCGAGCUUCCAUAGCGUAGUAAUCAUACACCUCGUUACUGGUAAUCGUCGCGGCCACGCCGUAAAACCCCAACUUCUGAAUGUUGACCUCGGAUCAGGUAGGAAUACCCGCUGAACUUAAGCAUAUCAAUAAGCGGAGGA